rnacentral:rRNA from 1 species
AGAGUUUGAUCAUGGCUCAGGAUGAACGCUGGCGGCGUGCCUAACACAUGCAAGUCGAGCGAUUCUCUUCGGAGAAGAGCGGCGGACGGGUGAGUAACGCGUGGGUAACCUGCCUCAUACACAUGGAUAACAUACCGAAAGGUAUGCUAAUACAGGAUAAUAUAAGAGAUUCACAUGGAUUUCUUAUCAAAGCUCCGGCGGUAUGAGAUGGACCCGCGUCUGAUUAGCUAGUUGGUAAGGUAACGGCUUACCAAGGCGACGAUCAGUAGCCGACCUGAGAGGGUGAUCGGCCACAUUGGAACUGAGACACGGUCCAAACUCCUACGGGAGGCAGCAGUGGGGAAUAUUGCACAAUGGGCGAAAGCCUGAUGCAGCAACGCCGCGUGAGUGAUGAAGGCCUUCGGGUCGUAAAACUCUGUCCUCAAGGAAGAUAAUGACGGUACUUGAGGAGGAAGCCCCGGCUAACUACGUGCCAGCCGCAGC